CCCUACGGGGUGCAGCAGGCGGGAGAGCCCGUCAGCUGUGAAAACUAUGGGCUUCACCCAUAAACUGCAGUUGAAACUGUUUUUCUUGAGUGGAGUAGAGGUAGGCGGAAUUCCGAGUGUAGCGGUGAAAUGCGUAGAUAUUCGGAGGAACACCAGUGGCGAAGGCGGCCUACUGGGCUCUAACUGACGCUGAGGCUCGAAAGUGUGGGGAGCAAACA
rnacentral:rRNA from 1 species